CGGGAUAGCUCAGCUGGUAAGCAGAGGACUGAAAAUCCUCGUGUC
rnacentral:tRNA from 1 species